rnacentral:rRNA from 1 species
AUUGACCGCUGGCGGCAGACCUAAAACAUGCAAGUCGAGCGGAGCGGCGGACGGGUGAGUAAUGCCUCGGAAUCUGCCUGUGAGUGGGGGAUAACGUCCGGAAACGGGAGCUAAUACCGAAUACUAUCAGAUGAGCCUCGGGGGCAGUAGCGAGUUGGUGGGGUAAAGGCCUACCAAGGCGACGAUCCGUAACCGGUCUGAGGGGAUGAUCAGUCAAACGGGAACUGAGAGACGGGCCAGACGCCUACGGGAGGGAGCAGUGGGGAAUAUUGGACAAUGGGCGAAAGCCUGAUCAAGCCAUGCCGCGUGUGUGAAGAAGGUCUUCGGAUUGUAAAGCACUUUAAGUUGGGAGGCGUUACCAACAGAAUAAGCACCGGCUAACUUCGUGCCAGCAGCCGCGGUAAUAC